UUUGUGUCCUAAUGUAUUGGUCUUAGUUUUUUUGUAGGAUCUCAUCUUAACACUACUCACAUAUUAUUUUUUAUUUUAUUUUAUUUAUUUUUUUGGUAGAGCAAUGAAUGAUUCAAAAUAAUAUGUUUGAUCUUAACAAAAUAUUGGAUUCGUCAAUAGACCUCAAAAUAUUAUUUUCUUUUAGACUCCUCUAAAUUUCUUAAUGUUGGACUUUAAUACAUGCAUUCAAGUAAAUGUACAAGGCUAUUUUUUA
rnacentral:lncRNA from 1 species